GAGUUGAAAGAAAUCUCUUCCGAAGUCAUGGUUGAAGACUCUUUGAUGGUUAAUUUGGCUGCUCAGAUGAAGGAACUUCAAGCCAAAAUGGACGACUGCAAGGCGAGAAUGGCUGCUAAAAAGCGCAACGCCUCCCAGGGAAUUGAGCGAACUAAGUCCUUGGUUGAGCAGUACAAGAAGUUGGAAGUUGAUGAUGAUGUCGUGGUCGAAUUGAACAUCACUUCCUCUCGGCAGAAUGAGGAUUGGG
rnacentral:lncRNA from 1 species